AGUGAACGCUGGCGGUAGGCCUAACACAUGCAAGUCGAACGGCAGCACAGGAGAGCUUGCUCUCUGGGUGGCGAGUGGCGGACGGGUGAGGAAUACAUCGGAAUCUACCUUUUCGUGGGGGAUAACGUAGGGAAACUUACGCUAAUACCGCAUACGACCUACGGGUGAAAGUGGGGGACCGCAAGGCCUCACGCGAUUAGAUGAGCCGAUGUCCGAUUAGCUAGUUGGCGGGGUAAUGGCCCACCAAGGCGAAGAUCGGUAGCUGGUCUGAGAGGAUGAUCAGCCACACUGGAACUGAGACACGGUCCAGACUCCUACGGGAGGCAGAAGUGGGGAAUAUUGGACAAUGGGCGCAAGCCUGAUCCAGCCAUACCGCGUGGGUGAAGAAGGCCUUCGGGUUGUAAAGCCCUUUUGUUGGGAAAGAAAUCCUGUCGAUUAAUACUCGGUGGGGAUGACGGUACCCAAAGAAUAAGCACCGGCUAACUUCGUGCCAGCCGCCGCGGUAAUAC
rnacentral:rRNA from 1 species